AGGGAAAGAAAAAGAAAAUUUGUAACGUGUAAUUAAUAUACAAAAAAAGGGGAAAAAAAAAAAAGAAAUUCUUCAUUUGUUGGAAACUAAACCCGUUCUAGCAGCUGUAUAAAACUGUCAGGCAUGUUUGUUAUUUCUAUAAUCCGUCAUAAAAGGGUCACACCUAACUCUCUCUUGACCUUAAGGGUAUUGCUUGUUAGGCCUCAGGUGCGGCAAAAAGAUAAAAAGAGGAGGAGCAGAGGGGGACAAAUUUCUGUAAUGAACUGUAAAGAUUUCUGCUAUGCAGGUGCCAAGACAAAGAAAAAAAAAAGAAUUAUAUGUAAAUGUAAAAGAACUGCCAUUAUUCCUAGUGGGAGUAAAUGGUCAAAGAUAAAAACUAUUUCUUCUGUUGAGAUUUAUACCAGCUUUAUGUUCAAUUAUUCACCCAUCCUGUGAUGAGUUUUGUCACUGGUAAGGAGGUGAUGGCAGUCCUUUGAGAGUCAUAUUUUUGCUUUGUCUGUAAGAAGCACAGAGAAGAAGGUGUGAAGGAUUACUUUUCCCAAAGAAAUUUCCAAUUUGGGAUGUUUCAAUUUUUAGGUGCCUAAUUUAAGAGACUUUUAUUAUAGGUAGGUGCUCAGCAAUUUCUCAAAGUGAAGUUCCUUGUGUGACCAAAAACUCUAUUGGACAGAUGCUCAGCUAGUGCAAGCUGGUAUGGUUCAUUGGCUAAAGUUGCCCCAUUAACUCCAAACUCUACUGUCUGCAAUAGAGCUAUGGCCAGUUGCUCUAGUUGAGGUUUUGAACCUAUGAGUUUUACCAUAUCUUCUCCCUUCUCCAAGGAGACCCAAAAAACUGAAGCAACCCAAAAUCACUAGUCACUUUGGAAAAAUUCAGGCCUUAGGAACAGUACAAAGCUUUUGUCACCUUAAGAAAAGCCAGAUACAUGGAAGUUUAUUCACUUUAUUUUCUGAGGGGGGAAAAAAUUGUUUUUGCCAUUUUCACCAUAAAUGAAAGCCAGGGUUCUCCUGAAACAAAAGCCUCUUUGCCUCAAAGGAAAAAAAAAAAUCAUUAUUGCAAAAUGUCAUCAAAAUGGCCACAAAAUUAACAACACUGAAAACAAUUGGCCAACUUUCCCCAAAUUCGUAACCACAGAACAAGAAGAAAUUUGGUCCAAUGGUCAAACAUGUAAUUAACCUGCAAAAGGUUUUAUGCUAUGGAUACAUUUUUUGCUGGAUUUUUUAAAUUAUCACAGAGUGUAUCAUUACCUGCUCAGCCCAGCUUUAGGGUAACCCCCUCAAAGACAAUAUGUGGGCUGUGUUUCUCUUUAUUUCAGUUUGUUUGGGACUUAGUAAAGAGCUGCUAAGGACAAAGUGUAGAGCCUAACAAGAAAUAUAAUUCUUUAGCCUGCCUGCUUUCAGAGAAGCAGCAUUAUCCUGGCCACAAGCUGGGACUAGUCAUCAGAGAGAAACCUAAACCAAACCACUAAAUUCAGAUCUGAUUUGAUCAAGCUUGGAUCUGAACAUUGAAUUCUUAAGCUGUUUGGAUCCAAGUGUUUGGUUUGGCCAUUGUAGAGACCUAGGCUAUUGUAGAGCCUAGGGUUUAAAUGCUGAGACUUAGGCACCUAAAUUCCUUAGAUUUUUUUUUUUUUGAAACUAUGCCUAUGGAGCCAAAAGUAUUGUGCUGUUAUUUUUUUGACAGUAGCCAACUGGGGCAAUUAAAUCUGGAUUUAGAUUCAGAUUUCAGUGUAAGACUGGUUCAGGCCUGUCUCUACUGUGUAUCAACAAUGAGAGGAAAGAAUUGGAUACCUUUAAAGGUAUAAGCUCACUAAGAGAAAUCCAUGAAUAAAUUAGUUAGGGAGGGUAUAGCCAGGCUAUACUGAAUUGAUUUCAGGAGAGAGAAAAGCGCCUUCCACAUUCAGAAGUGUAUGCAUCAGAUCCACCAUGAAAGUCACAAAUAUCAGUCAAAGUGAAGGGAAGUGCUUGUGUCAUUGGUGGAGAUGGGUGAAUAUUGCAAUUUUUUUUUCCUUGGCCAUCUGUCCAUUCCAAUGUUUAAGCAAAUCCAUUUUGUAUUUGUGUAACUGACUUUGAGGUCUUUUUGUCCACCUCUUGUGGCUGGCCCACGUAAGAGGUUUCUGGGUCUGUUACUGUUUAAUGGGUGUAUCCUUUUUAAGUUCAAGUGCUAGAGGCUCUUGGUUGUAAAGCUGACAGUUCAAGUUCAAACCCUGCUGUUGGCCCUAGGGGGCUAUUUGCAUUUGUGACCCUUCUGUGUUGGCUUUCUGUAAACAUUCCAGCAAGCAAAUUCCCUGGCAGGAAUAUGCAUGGAAACAGUUAGUUUUAAGCUAAAACUGGAGAGUAUUCAUGGGAAGUAAAUUUCAAAUUUGUAGUUAUGAGUAUUCAUAGGGGAAACCAUUUUUCUAAGAGUUAAAUCCAUCCAUUCAGGGACUAGAAUUAUGCCAUGUAAAAUACCCAACUGACCAAAAGAGCUGACAUUUAAACUUGCUACUAUUACUACUGACAAUAUUAAUAUUUUUUAAAAUAUCAAACUUUGUUCUUGAACAAAUAGACUGAAAUGCAUUAUGCAUUCACUGAAAUUAUUUGGUGAAUAAUCUGAAAUAGUGAAUUUGCUAAUGCAAAAAAAGGAAUGGAAUUCAUCAGAUGAAUCAUUUCUUAUGAAUUAUUCGUCCAGCUCUAGUCACCAGCAGCAAAAGGAAUUGCCAUCCAACCAUAAAUCCUAUGGGUCAUCAGCAGAUGCAUUUUCUAAGUUCUGCCCUGUGUUUGCAGGACAGGACCCAUUUACCUAACCAACUAAAUUCAUGUGUCUCCCUUUGACUUAAUGGGAUAGUUAAACUCAAUGGCUUUAGUUACAUUAGACUUCAGCUGGUGACAGUAACAGGGGGACUUUUAGCUUAGACAAGGCACAAAUAACCACCAGAAUUUUAACCAACUGUUGUCAAGAAAUGACCCAAGUUACUUUCGACAGCAGAUGGGUAAAAAUGUCAGUGGCUGAAGUUCACUCACAUUCCAGCAAUCACUAUCACUUGGAGAAGAUUUGCUUUCCCACAUAGAAAGCAAAAGUGGGAAAUUUGAGGGUUAAAGGUUUGGUAUAGACACCCUCUUUGUGUCUGAAAUUUAUUUCAGGAGUUCAUGAUAUUGUGACGUAGCAUCAAUAUGCAAUGUCACAUCAACACGGUGAUGUGGAGUCUUCAUGUAGUGUCAAUGUGUGAUGAUGUUGCAACACAACAGGAUAUCAUUGCAUCAUGAUAUGAAGACAAAAUGUUGUGGAUCAAUUAUUUUGUCCUUCAGGGGGAAAAAAAAUGCAACUAUCUGGAGUCUAGCUGAGAUACUGGGCUCAAACUGAAUGUCAGACUCCCAAAAAGAAAAGACAAAUAAACAUGGCUUGUACCAUGUUCUGUUCUCCAAGUGCAACUGGGAAAGAAACCAGCAGAUCCAUUUUAUGCAGCAAAGAUGUCAUGCUGUGAAUGGGAUAUGUGCACAUACUGUGUGCAGCAGUUUGCAUUCUGCUUUCACAAUUCAGUUUCAUCCCCUCCAUUAAGGACCUGUAGCAACCUGGUCCUGAAUAUGAGGGGUGGAAAAUUGUACUCACCCAGACUGCGGGUCUUUGUUUUGCAGGCUGGGAAAGUUAUAGAGGCUUCCAUCUCCUCUGAGAUCCCUCUCUAGAGGGAUGUGAAUCUUUAUCCAUGGCAAUAUUGAUAGGCUUUAGUGAUAUUUAUGUUCAGCACCCACUCUUUGGCCAAAAGAAGGGUCAUUAUGUUAUAAAGCUGAAGGUGACUAAUGGAGAAGAAUUAGAGAAAGUUCAGAUGGUUCCCAAAAUUUAAAGCACCUAACUUCAGAGUUUUAUAAAGUUUAAGACCAGAAAG